UCUAGAAUGGCAGAUAGAUGUAUAGGAUUUAAGCUCCUACUAGGAAAAAUUUUUUUCUUCUAGAA
rnacentral:tRNA from 1 species